rfam:Drosophila virilis strain TSC#15010-1051.87 Ctg01_928, whole genome shotgun sequence.
CAACCUCAACUCAUAUGGGACUACCCCCUGAAUUUAAGCAUAUUAAUUAGGGGAGGAAAAGAAACUAACAAGGAUUUUCUUAGUAGCGGCGAGCGAAAAGAAAUCAGUUCAGCACUAAGUCACUUUGUCUAUAUGGCAAAUGUGAGAUGCAGUGUACGGAACAUCAACAUUCUAGUAUGAGAAGUUAACGAUUUAAGUCCUUCUUAAAUGAGGCCAUUUACCCAUAGAGGGUGCCAGGCCCGUAUAACGUUAAUGAUUACUAGAUGGUGUUUCCAAAGAGUCGUGUUGCUUGAUAGUGCAGCACUAAGUGGGUGGUAAACUCCAUCUAAAACUAAAUAUAACCAUGAGACCGAUAGUAAACAAGUACCGUGAGGGAAAGUUGAAAAGAACUCUGAAUAGAGAGUUAAAUAGUACGUGAAACUGCUUAGAGGUUAAGCCCGAUGAACCUGAAUAUCCGUUAUGGAAAAUUCAUCAUUAGAAUUGUAAUAUUUUAAACAAUAUUAUAAUAAUAGUGUGCAUUUUUUCCAUAUAAGGACAUUGUAAUCUAUUAGCAUAAAUAUUUAUCAUAAAAUUAUGUCUGAUUGCUUAUUUGAAUUAUAUGCUUGGCAUUUUAACAUAAAAUAAAAGAUAUAAAUUUGAUAAAGUGCUGAUAGAUUUAUAUGAUUACAGUGCGUUAAUUUUUCGGAAUUAUAUAAUGGCAUAAUUAUCAUUGAUAUUUGUGUUUAUUAUAUGCAUUUGUAUGAUUAACAAUGCGAAAGAUUCAGGAUACCUUCGGGA